rnacentral:tRNA from 1 species
UAGGACAUCCCUAGAGACCUAUGACCAGCCUGCCAAGCUGGUAGUCCCGGGUUCAAAUCCCGGCGGCCGCA